GGCGGAGCCGGCCCAGCCGGAGCCCGGACGAUGAGUCGCUCGCAGGUGUCAGGGCGUCCGCCGCUCCUCGUUGCCUUGAUCGCCGAACUCUGCGGGAGGAGCUGAAGAGUCCAGAAAAGGGAGGAAACUGCUCGGAGGAAAGCCCUGGGAGGACGAAGACGAUUCUGUGUGGAGGAACCCACCUGGCCAUUGAUCAGCUAGCUGUGUAUCUUUCAGCAGGUUCCCCUUGAGACCUCUCAGAGUUGCCCUGAGCAACUUAUAUUUUAACAUAAAGAAUAUCACAAGGGGACUUCCCAGGUGGCUCAGUGGUUAAGAAUCUGCCUGCCAAUGCAGGGGACACCGCUUGGAGCCCUGGUCCGGGAAGAUCCCACUAAGCCGGUGGGCCACAACUACUGAGCCCCACGUGCUGCAACUACUGAAGCCCGCGCCUAAAGCCCGUGCUCUACUACAAGAGAAGCCACCACAAUGAGAAGCCUGCACACUGCCAUGCAGUAGCCUCCAC